ACGGGUGAGUAACAUUUAGGAAUCUGCCUAGUAGUGGGGGAUAGCUCGGGGAAACUCGAAUUAAUACCGCAUACGACCUACGGGUGAAAGGGGGCGCAAGCUCUUGCUAUUAGAUGAGCCUAAAUCAGAUUAGCUAGUUGGUGGGGUAAAGGCCUACCAAGGCGACGAUCUGUAACUGGUCUGAGAGGAUGAUCAGUCACACCGGAACUGAGACACGGUCCGGACUCCUACGGGAGGCAGCAGUGGGGAAUAUUGGACAAUGGGGGCAACCCUGAUCCAGCCAUGCCGCGUGUGUGAAGAAGGCCUUUUGGUUGUAAAGCACUUUAAGCAGGGAGGAGAGGCUAAUGGUUAAUACCCAUUAGAUUAGACGUUACCUGCAGAAUAAGCACCGGCUAACUCUGUGCCAGCAGCCGCGGUAAUACAGAGGGUGCGAGCGUUAAUCGGAAUUACUGGGCGUAAAGCGAGUGUAGGUGGCUCAUUAAGUCACAUGUGAAAUCCCCGGGCUUAACCUGGGAACUGCAUGUGAUACUGGUGGUGCUAGAAUAUGUGAGAGGGAAGUAGAAUUCCAGGUGUAGCGGUGAAAUG
rnacentral:rRNA from 1 species